ACAUUCUAUCUUUCGUAUGACUUAAUGAGAUUACACUGAAUAAGUUAUUGUUUCGGUAACAAAGGGAGGAGGAAAAAACAAAGAAAACAGAAAAACACAAGGAAGAACAGUGAGGGAAGCAAAGAAGGAGAUAGCAGCAUAAAAACACAGGCAUUUUCGAUUUGCGAGCUCAAAAAGCUUUAACUCAAGCAAAAUUCCCAAACAUUACUGUCUCUCUCACCCAUUCUCUCUCCAUUUUCUUUCUUUUUCCCCCUUUUUCCUCACCCACCACUCUUCAUUUUUCAUCAUCUUACACAAAAACAUCACUUCUCUCUCUCUUAAAACAAUAAAAAUUCAAUCUUUUUUUGUUGUUCCUAAAAAAACCAUGUCCUUUAGAGUUUGUUUCAGUUUCAGAUCUUAAGGGGUUGUUUCUACUAAUGUUUUGAACCUUUUUUUUUCUUCUGGGGUUGAAUAAAAACAGAAGAGAAAAUCAAGAAUCAGAGCAAUUUUUUAUUUUUUUUUCAUUCUGUUUGUGAAGUGGUGGUUCUUGUUUUUCUGUAUAGAGUAAAGGGUGUUUGUUUGUGUGAUUUGUUUUGUCUACUUUAAGAGAAUUCAUCCAUCUCUUUUUCAGUGAUAUUUGGGAAAAAGAACUCCAUUUUUGGCUUGUAACCCGAAAAUUCAGGUUGGGUCUCAAACGUGUCAUUUGUUCCAGCUCAGAAUCUUGAAAUUCAUAAAAAGAAUUAAGUUUUUUUUUUGCUUAAAGAUUCCAAAAAUUUGAGAGUUUUGAAGCAAAAACCAAAGGGCUAUUGGUAGAAAGUUAAAGUUUUUUUUAAUGAUGAUGGAGUUUGGAGGUUUGUGUGAAUGGAAAUGGUGUAGUAAAGUAUCAAACACGAGUAAUUUACAGCUUAAGUGAAUUUUUUUUAUUUUUUUUGUUGUCCUUUUGUGCCAUAUCUUUCGUUGAGCAGUUUUGGCUGUUCCUUAAUUUGUAAGUUUAGCGUGAAGUGUAUGUUUGAGCCUUGUGUAGAA
rnacentral:lncRNA from 1 species